rnacentral:lncRNA from 1 species
GAAAGUCCCAAUGAUGAAGAAAUAUCAGAAGUUUUACAUAAAAUUGGCCUGUAACACAUGGAAAAGUGACUGUAGUAUGGAUGGAUUUGGGAUCACAUCUUUACUUCCACCUUCUAUGGCAGUAGUCGUUUGUUGAAACAGAGGGCCCAGACGCUGUGAUGUGAGAAGCUUCACUAUAUCACAUGGCCCAGCCAUGGUAUUCUUCAUCUCUGCUGGCCAAGAAGCAGUAGAGCCAAUUGGUAACCGUGGGCUGGAAUCUCCGAAACUGCAUUUCCUGUAUGGAAAAGAGUGGGAUGCAGGAGCUCAAGGAAGGACCUACGGUCACAGCAGAGUUGCCCAUGAUGCCCCAGAGGUAGAACAUCCAAAUGACCCUUGACAGAUGGUCAGGGAGACAAGGCAGUGCAUUCGUACAUCAUGGAAUCCCAUGGUUCAGCCGCAGAGGAUGGGAACCCUGACACAUGGCCUGGAGGACGUUAUGUUAGUCACCCCCUCAGUGAGGACCUCAGCAGCCAUGAGUUCAUGCUGUGAUGGGCUGCCUCCCCACAAGCCCUCAGGCAUGUGGUCAAACAACCAGUCAUCACUGAGACCUCACAACUUGGCCCACACAAACCUCACCUCUUUAUCUGCUGAUUGCCUCAGGUAUUUUAUCACAGUCAUGGAAAACUAGAUUUUGGUUUAGGAAUGAAAAUAUCCUGGAGAUGAAGUCAUAAUGGUUAUAUGACAUUAUUGAAAAUUAUUCAGAGCCGGGCAGUGGUGGUGCACACCUUUAAUCCCAGCC